AUGGAGGACGAUACCUUCUACCGUAUCCUCUGGAUCACGACAGUCUCAUUACUGACUGUACUUAUUCCAGCCUUCAGGAAGUGGAUGGUAGGAGUCAGGGCUGGUGCUGAGCCAGGCACUGCAACACAGGAGGGGGUUGGAGGGGGGCCAGGGCCAUCCCCAGGGCUGGGCUGGGAGACUGCCUGGGAGGAGAGGCCGUGUCCCAGCAGGGCCUGGCCAGGCUCGGCAAGGAGUCCCAGGGCAGUCACGGGCCGAGCCUGGCUGUGCCCUGGGUUGGUGGGAGCCGCUGAGGCUGCUAGGGAUGCUCCCCUCUCACUCGCUGCUUUCUGUGCCCAUACAGAAGGAAAGGUCCAAAACGUCCCAAACAGAGGAAGUGCCAACACGGAGCUAACCAGGCAAAUUCUAGAGGUGAGCAGCCCUGGCAAGGGAGGUGCCCUGCAAAGACAACCCUGGCCCCACUUGCCCACCACCCCAUCACGUUUCUCCCUAUCACUCACUCUGCUUUCUUUGCCAACAGUUUGGGACUUGUGCACGUCUUCACAGCACGCGAGGAUGCACUCCUCAGUGCCCAGUCAGACGGAUGACACCUAUGAAGCCAUCCAAUGUUUUUACAGAACUGUUCAAGACUCCAACAGAUGCUUGGACAGGCUCAUGUUGCAAAUGCCUGAGGGCAGCAAUGAGGGCAGCAAUGAGGGCAGCAAUGAGGGCAGCAAAGAGGGCAGCAAAGAGGGCAGCAAUGAGGGCAGCAAUGAGGGCAGCAAAGAGUGGAGCAGCAACGAGGUUGGCAACGAAGGCAGCAACGAGGGCAGCAACGAAGGCAGCAACGAGGGCAGCAACGAGGGCGGCAACAAGGGCGGCAACGAGGGCAGCAACGAGGGCGGCAACGAGGGCACCAUCACCUGUUGUGGGGAUAUGAAGACACCUUGCCCACAACCAAAGUCCCAGGAGCGGGACCUGCCCUUGGUGGAUGAGGCUAUGAGAAGUCUCCUGGAGCAUCCUGACAUGAAAAUGCAGGCACCAGAGCACCUGCAGAAGAGCCUCUCAGAGCCUAAUCUGGGGCACAAAGACUCCCAGCUUCCACAUCCACUGAGGCAAACAAGGAGGUCCGCUCGCUUGCCCUUCCAGCGCAGGCACAUGCAGGCUCAGGCAUGGAGGUCAUCAGCAGAGGCCUUUGGCCAACGGCAAAAAUCUGCCUCCCUGAUGGACACACGCAAACAAGAAACAAUGCGUACAGUCCAUGCUGACUGCUACAGACUCUGUGAACACCCUGACAACCAGGAGAACAGGUUGAUGUAUCUAUGGCUGGAGCAGUAUGAAUACGUUGAGAGGAAGAUGCAGGACUUUUUCACACCACACUGCGUCCUGCCUAGCAAUGAAGGAUCCAAGGGUGUGUCUCCAUCUGACCCUGCUGCUCAAGAGCCAGAGGGAAGUAGAUCUGCAGUUGCAUCAAGCAGGACACAUAGGUCACAGACUCCAUCUCAGCUGUGCAGAGGCUGCUGUGUGCCACCCUUUCUGUGCUGCAGCGUUCAGCAUGUCUGGGCCAAGCUCAAAGCAGCCAGCAAGGCCCUCUGUUCCAAGAUCAGAAAGGGAAGCGAGAAGCUCUCAAGGAAGGGAAGAAAGCUCUUCAGGAAAAACAGAGCCGACAAGGCUGGACGCAAGUCAUCAUGGGAGCAGACAAUCACUGACACCUCUGGCCAAAAGGAGAAGCUCAGGUCCACCUCUGGAGGCAAUGAAGGACUUGGUGGCAUCUGAAGACAAGACUUUCAGUGGUGUCAGUGAGAUCACAGGGUGCCAGUAAGGGAUCAAGCCAGGAUGGCAGCAGCCACAGGCACCUGGAUGUACUGGAGCCUGUUGCCUGUAGAGUGACAGCCCACAUGCUGCUACCUAGCAGUGGGUUGCUCUUGGAGCCCCAAGCUCCUUCUCCAGCUCAGUCUGUUCAUCCAUCAGGUGUUCAGGCAGGCACACCUGCAGCAAGCAGAGAAUUGCCACCAGAUGCGACCAGAGGGCAAGAGCAGAAUGGCAGGGGACACACCCAGGACAGGCCAGAUCCUCCAAGAAGAACUUCCCCACAGAAAAAGCACUCCUCCACCGAGCAGAGAACCUCAGGUCUGCCAGAGCUUCCACAUCCCACUGAGAUCAAUAUUCCAGUCUCCCUCGUGCAGGAGCUUUUCACAGCUUUUAGAGAUUUGAACAUAGCCGGGCAAACUGCUAAGGAGCUGCAAAAGCAGGUGCUGGCUUCCUUUUCAAAAUAGCCCACAAACAACGUCAAGUAACAGAGAACAGAUGUGGCAGCAGAGGAACCUGGGGUCAGGACACAGACUGGAAGAGAAGGGCGAAGGGUGCAGCCAGAACAGAUCUGACCCUGGGACACUCUGCCCUGCAUGCAGCAAAGCCCCCCACUGCAGCCAGCCAGGAGCUGUAAGCUCCCAGAGAUUGGCUGCACCCGCAACUGCAGCCCCAGGUGCACAAAGAGACGCAGAGAGAAGAAUCCUUCCAUGACGACGGGGACAAGAGGCAGAAGGCCUGAAAAAUGCUCCUGCAGAUCAUCAGCCUGAGGGCCUCCUGUGCCUAAGGACAUCAACCCCUAUCAUUGCAGGAGGAAGCCCACCAGGACACACAGUCAGAGAGCAGCAGAUACCUGAAUUGUUUUUAUGAUUUUUCCUUAUUGAUAUUCCCCAUCAUGACAACACGUAGUGCUAUUGCUUCAGUCAAUAGCACUACAUAUACAUACAUAUACAUACAGAAUAAUGCAAAGUCCACUGGGAUAUGUAGUUUGUAGGACUUUGCAUUAUUCUGUUUCCAUCUUUCAUUCUGAAGCAAAGAUAAAACUGUUCACAUAUCACAAGACGUUCUCUCUUUUCCUUUCUUCUUGCCCUGGCUAGACUUCUCACCUUAGAAGUGGCAUUAGCCUCACUCUAAUGCCACUUCUAAGGUGAGAAGUCUAGCCAGGAUUUUUGGAUUCUCUGUCAUUUUAUUUGACUUAAUUAUUUUAAUUUUUUAUUAUUAUUAUUUCUUUAACUUUAAUUAUUUCAAAAUAAAAUAAAAUAAUUUCUCCCCA
ensembl:lncRNA uncharacterized LOC107312242